AACAAUGCCUUUAUAGUCAUAAAGGCACCAGAUCAUGUGUGAUCUUGGAAGCUAAGCAGGAUCCGCUCUUAUUAGUACUUGGAUGGGAGACUGCCAAUGAAUAUCAGAUGCUAUAGGUU
rnacentral:rRNA from 1 species